rnacentral:misc_RNA from 1 species
AUUAAUAUAGAUGAAGUCAAGCAAGCAGGACCUAUCAAAUCUUCAACACCAAGAAGGCAGCCAACUACAAUUCGUACUGUGAAGGAAGUUCGCACUGUCCNNNNNNUGUUGGGGAAAGGCAUAUGCAUCCGAUGAUUAAGGAUCAGAAACAAGUUGACCUAUCAUCUAAUGAAGGGGGCACUUCAUCUGAAUCCUGCCAGCCCGNNNNNGAAUGUAAUGGUGAUACAAGUUCUGGACAACAAGGGAAGCCUAGGAGGUUGAACAGCGAUACUGAUUUUUCUGGAGAAGGACACCCACCACCCCUUCCAAGACAGAGUUCAUGGAAGCAGCCUGCUGAUUUGAGGCAGCCAAAGAACUCACAAUUUCAUAAUAGGAAGGCAGCUCUGAUGAGCCAAAGCUCCAUAGAUUCAAAGUUGGGAAACAGGAAACAACCCCCUGCCAAGAAGCCAGCUCUAGUCAGCACACCAUAUCAAGACACUUCAGUGGAACGUCUCAUACGGGAGGUGACUAAUGAGAAGUUUUGGCAUCACCCAGAGGACUCUGAGCUUCAAUGUGUUCCUGGACGGUUUGAAUCUGUUGAGGAAUAUGUCAGGGUGUUUGAGCCUUUGCUUUUUGAAGAAUGCCGGGCACAACUUUAUAGCACAUGGGAAGAGUUGACUGAAACAAAUGCACAUGUAAUGGUUCGUGUAAAGAGCAUUGAAAGACGAGAAAGAGGAUGGUAUGAUGUUAUAGUCCUUCCUGUGAGUGAGUGCAAAUGGACAUUCAAGGAGGGUGAUGUUGCAGUUCUUUCAACCCCUAGGCCUGGAACAGUCAGAUCCAAGAGGAGUAACACCUCAUCAAAUGAAGAUGAUGAUGAGCCUGAGAUCAGCGGACGUGUGGCUGGUACUGUUAGACGAC